rnacentral:sRNA from 1 species
GCGCGGAAGGAGCUUGCAGUAGCGGGCGGCAGAGCUGGAGUGAAGGGAGCUAGUGUUUAGGUAGCAGCCACCAUUAUGCUCAAAGCGGUGAUCCUGAUUGGAGGCCCUCAAAAGGGAACUCGCUUCAGACCUUUGUCUUUUGAGGUGCCCAAACCAUUGUUUCCUGUGGCAGGGGUCCCUAUGAUCCAACACCAUAUUGAAGCCUGUGCCCAGGUCCCUGGAAUGCAGGAGAUUCUGCUCAUUGGCUUCUACCAACCUGAUGAGCCCCUCACCCAGUUCCUAGAAGCCGCCCAGCAGGAGUUUAACCUUCCAGUCAGGUGUUUGUGCACACACUCGUAUAUGGGGGGGUGGGGAUGCCCUAGGCCUCUGAGUUCUUGGAAGUGGGUUGAGUCAGCAUUUGCUGGAGUUCAUCCUCACCUACUAGAAGGAUUCUUGUUUGGACAUCAAUGAAUCUCUGAGUAUAUAGAGUUUCUCUGUAGGCCUUGGGCAGGAGUAGUCCUGGGAGCAAGCGGUGGGGGUCAGGUGCCCUGGCUCAUGGUAUCUGUUUCCUAAGAUCCACUGAUCUGGCUCUCGGGUCCCUGGGGACAGGUACCUGCAGGAAUUUGCCCCCCUAGGCACAGGGGGUGGUCUUUACCAUUUUCGAGACCAGAUCCUGGCUGGGAGCCCCGAGGCAUUCUUCGUGCUCAAUGCUGAUGUCUGCUCCGACUUCCCCUUGAGUGCUAUGUUGGAAGCCCACCGACGCCAGCGUCACCCUUUCUUACUCCUUGGCACUACGGCUAACAGGACGCAAUCCCUCAACUACGGCUGCAUCGUUGAGAAUCCACAGACACACGAG